AUACGUAGGGGGCGAGCGUUGUCCGGAAUGAUUGGGCGUAAAGGGCGCGUAGGCGGCGCGGUAAGUCUGGAGUGAAAGUCCUGCUUUCAAGGUGGGAAUUGCUUUGGAUACUGCCGCGCUUGAGUGCAGGAGAGGUUAUCGGAAUUCCCGGUGUAGCGGUGAAAUGCGUAGAGAUCGGGAGGAACCCCAGUGGCGAAGGCGGGUAACUGGACUGCAACUGACGCUGAGGCGCGAAAGUGUGGGGAGCAAACAGGAUUAGAUACCCUGGUAGUCCACACUGUAAACGAUGAAUGCUAGGUGUAAGAGGUAUCGACCCCUUUUGUGCCGGAGUCAACACAAUAAGCAUUCCGCCUGGGGAGUACGGCCGCAAGGUUGAAACUCAAAGGAAUUGACGGGU
rnacentral:rRNA from 1 species